rnacentral:lncRNA from 1 species
AUGAGACUAUCACGGAGCUUGGGAGAGCAAAUGUGAGGGUGAGAUGUAGAGUUUCUAGUGGAAGGAUAGGGAUUUUUGGAAGAGUGAUAUCCCGAUUUGGAAGAGACGGGUGGAAUCUAGGGCACGCUCAAUCCACUCCAAAUAAGGGAGGAGAAGGGGAAGAACUUGAUUCCUAAGGGUCGAUUUGAGGUGUAAGGGGU